CUCCCGGUCUCCUCCCUCGCUGAAAAAUCCAGUCCUCCUCUAUCUCCCCCUCCUCCUCCUCUGCGCCUGCCUCUGUCUGGGAUCAAACCCCCCUCCCCCACGAGCUCCUCCUCGAUGCGCGGGUCUCUCGAUCCCGAUCCAUUCCCUUCUCUCCUCCGCUCGCCGCUUGGCCGUAGAAAAAAAGUCCGGGCAGGGGACAUGGCGGCUGCCGGUGACAUUUUCCCAUCGCGCCUCGAUUUGGCCGCCUCGGCGGAGGCGCUCGCGGCCUGGAGGGUCGGCGCAGCGCCUCACCUUGGCCUGGAGGCUGGCCGCCAUGGAGCUCCCCUCGGCCUAGAACUGGGGCUCGACGGGGCCUCCCUGCCCGGUUCAUGGCCGCAGCCGUCUCGGCUGUGCAUGCCGGCGUCAUGACGUGGUGGCCAGGCGCUGGUUGCUGCCUCACCCGACCCCAGUGUGCCCGAGGUGCCUGCAGGCCUCUUCGGCAUCUCUGCUCCUGUAAAGAAAGGCUCUGUUCUCUUAACACGGAUGGAAAGUAUAACGGCAUACAAAAACCAACAUGGACAACCCAGAUUUGGAACUGCGGAACAAUCUGACACUCCAGUGUCUGCUAAUGACAUGUGUUCCCUUGCUGAAUGGCCAUCCCAUGCUCGCCGCAACCGUGGGCUACUACAGGAUGAAGCUGGUGGAUAGAAGAAGAAAGGGCGAGGUGUUCUAAAGGGUUUUAAAGCAUCUAAGAAGCGUUUUGCCAAUGGAUCUGCAAAGCUAAAUAUUACAUUCUCUGAAAAAUUGGGUGGUACAGUAGGAAUGAACUAUCAUUCGUUCAAGGAUGACGUGGUAGUCAUAAUGAAAAGAAAGUUACCACUCAUUGGAGUGAGGACAUGGUCGAACAUUCACCCUACCAUUUAUCGACUCAUUGUUGCAGAUAUGAUAGACAAAUGGGAUCUGGAAGAUACACCAGAAACAGAAGAAAAAGUUCUCAAAAUGGCGAAAGAGAGAUAUAGAGGCUGGCGAUCAACUCUAAGCUCCACUUACAAGGCAUACAAAACAGAUGCGGCUUGAUUGGCUAAUCUGCCGGAAGAUUUACAACCAGAAGAGUGGGAAUGGAUGAUUGAGUACUUUGGCACUGAUUCAAAAUUUUAGGUUAUCUUUAAGAUCACGGUUUGUCUAUUAUGUGUUAAGAUGAAAUGGCUAGUCUCACUGGUUAUAUCUGGUUUCAAUGAAUUGAUUGGACCGUAGCCAAAAGAACGCCGAUAACCGUAAGAAACAGAAGACAAAACACAUAAUCGGAUCAAAAUCUUACUCGCAAGUUAGUUUUGAGAAGGUAUGAGUCCAACCAAAUAUGUAUGCCUCGCUGCUAAA